rnacentral:lncRNA from 1 species
CCUGAGCUGCUUUUAGGGGAGGAUUUGUAGAGAACCAGAGCCAGAAUCCAAUUUCAUGGACAGUGUGGUAGCCUAUGAUAUAUGACUAAAUAGUUGACUCACCUAAUAGAAUCUGACUUGUUAACAUCAACAUACUUACAAUUACGAAGAAAGAUUACAAUUUUAGUUAUUUGAUAAUUUCCCUUGCAUUAUUAAUGUGGCAGUAGUAACAGCUAAUAUUUGUAACGAGGAUGAUUACCUCGUUUCUUACUCAAACAAUCAUUUUAUGAGUGGAAGCCCCAUUUCACAAAAGAGGAAACUGAAGCUCUCAAAAGGGUAGGUGGGGUGGCUGGGAUUAUAGCUCAGGGGUAGAGCACUUGCUUAGCAUGUGUGAGGCACUGCAUUUGAUCCUUAGCACCACAUAAAAAUAAAUAAAAUGAAGGUAUUUUGUCCAUCUACAACUAAAAAGAUGUAAAUAUUAAAAAAGAAUGGGUAGGUG